CACACACACACACACACACACACACACACACACACAUCCAAAGUAAUGGUGUGUGUCCACUAGUGUCAGGCAGGCAGAGUCCUCUCAUGUCUGGCAGCCACAGUGAUAUUAUUGCUGUAGAUGGAGCGUGCUGGGGAAUAUUGUUCCACUCCAUUGGUAUGCGGCGGACGCCUCCUCGUACCACACACGCUGGCGAUGACAGAAGUCGGCGUUAACACCAGACCUGCUCCUGACAAGAAACCGCAACAUGUGGACGCCUAAUCGAGACAAGAAAACGGCUGUUAUUCUUAACCGGGUAGUGGAUUUAUGGGCUUUUUUUUAUUUAACAAAGACAGACAUAGGGGGUAUUAUCAAAGAGACAGCGCUGUGUUAUUACUCCUUUGAAAUUCAAGGCAGACGGCUCUAUCAUUUACCAGAGAUGUUAUCUGGCUUAAAAUAUUUGCUCACUCCUUUGAAUUUAAAUAAAUAUCAAAGGCGGUUAUUAAACGCUGGCAUCAUAACAUCCGGCUCCGAGAAUCCACGUGCACGACACAUGCACGCGACCUCUGUCCAGGCCCAUAAUUAACCCUCUUAAUUAAGGGAGAAAAAAGUUGCUAACCAAGGAAAUGGAUUUAAUUAGCCUGAUCUUAGCCCGCCGACACGUGCGUGCCGUAAAACACAGACACACGUGCACGGCCACGCGCACACACAAAACAAUUAAGCCUCUUUUAUCCUGGCUAAUGGCUUCAGUGACUCAGAGCCUUUCUCAUUAAGACUAUCAAUAAUAUGCUGAUUACAUGCAUCCACUGGUCUCCUUUAUCGGGGCACAAAGGGACGAGUGUGUGUCUCCGAGGUUUCAGGGGCGUCUGCGCGACCUUAUCUGCUAAAAUAGACGUUUUGGAUUGUUUGGCUGGAGGAGCUAAAAGAGGCCUCGUCUUUAUUUUCCGCUGUUUAUCUCCUCAAAGGGGGUCACGUGCACCUUUGACAGGGAGGAGGUUGAACGGCUGAGGGCUUCAUAGAGGCCAGAUAAUAGACGGAGGAGUGACGGCGGGUGUAGGGCCGCAGAUCUGUCUGCACGUCUGUCAGUUCAUGAAAAGAACAAGGCCACGCUGUUAGAGUAAUGUUCAGUUUUGGGUAGUUUGGAGGCUCAUCAGAUGUCAGAAUCAUAGGCGUUUCUAGCCCAUUUUUGGGGGUGCUUCAGCACCCCCAAAUUGAAUCCCAGCACCCCUAAAAUUUAAAAGAUUUUUAUUUUUAUUUUUUUGUAUUGCAUGUCCUUUUUUUUUUAACAAACCAUAAAAGUGUAAAAAACCAUACAGUACUUGGUUGAUACAUAAUGUUUUAACAACAAAAAUACAGCACCCCCCUCCCCCCAUCUUGCCUCAAAAUGGUUUGAUCCUGCUCAACUUUCCCAACUCGGGCUCUGAGCCGCUACCUGCAGAGCUAAGCGCUGCCCCACAGAAGGUAAUGUGCUGUGGUGGUGUGAGUACCUGCUUUGAACUUCUACCACUCAAUACCAACACAUUAUCAUUACCAGUCCUCAUUUUUGCUGCAUUUAAUCAAAGGUUACUGUUUAUGUUGUUUGGUAGGAGUUAGCUUACGUUUUUUCGAGCUAGCAAACGUUACAGGUGGUCAGUGUCUGUUUGAAUUGGACUGAGAGAAGCUAGCUGUUGUGUCAGUGCAUGAAUUAAUAUUAAAGCCAAGGUGCUACUGACUAGCUAACUGACCGGAUGCCCAUUAACAUUAUAACUCCUACUGUGUGUGUGUGUGCAGACAGACAGCCUCAUCAUGGACAUAAGAUUGUUUUUUUCGAAGAAAAGAGCCAGGUUCAGGUAAGAGUGUAAGAUCAAAUGGUUUAUCGAUCAAGAGUAAUGUUGUAAGUUGGAUCAAUGUAUCAGUGUUUAUAUCUGUUAUCAGAUAUAAAACACAUUGUUUGGUUAUUUGCCUUUAGAUUGACAUUACAAAGAGAGAGAGGACGUUAUUUAUUUGUAUUCUUAUUGGUAUUUUUUCAUAUUUAUAUAAUUUUUCCUCUAGCUGAAUACAAUCUAUUUGUGUAUGAUUGCCAGUCCAAAGAGGAAGAGAUGAAAAAGGGGAAGAAGAGGAGAGAGUGCAAAGUCAGGAAGAACCAGGAAGAGAACAAGGAGAGACUCUGAGAGAUGAGAGCGUGCAGACCAGGGAAAGAAAUGCUGUGCAUCACAUUUCAAAUAAAAGUCAAAAAAUAAGUCCUAGG